GAAACCAACAGGGAUUGCCUCAGUAACGGCGAGUGAAGCGCAACAGCUCAAAUUUGUAUCUGGCCCUAGGCCGAUUGUAAUUUGUAGAGGUUGUUUUGUGCGGUGCCUUCCAAGUUCCCUAGAACGGGACGCCAGAGAGGGUGAGAGCCCCGUACAGUUGGACACCAAGCCUUUGUAAAGCUCCUUCGACGAGUCGAGUAGUUUGGGAAUGCUGCUCAAAAUGGGAGGUAUAUUUUUUCUAAAGCUAAAUACCGGCCAGAGACCGAUAGCGCACAAGUAGAGUGAUCGAAAGAUGAAAAGCACUUUGAAAAGAGGGUUAAACAGCACGUGAAAUUGUUAAAAGGGAAGCGCUUGUGACCAGACUUGCGUCCGGUGAAUCACCCAGCUCUCGCGGCUGGGCACUUCGCCGGCUCAGGCCAGCAUCAGCUCGCUGUCGGGGACAAAAGCUUCAGGAACGUAGCUCUCUUCGGGGAGUGUUAUAGCCUGUUGCACAAUACCCUUCGGCGGGCUGAGGUAGCGCCUCCGCAAGGAUGCUGGCAUAAUGGUCAUCAGCGACCCGUCUUGAAACACGGACCAAGGAGUCAACCUUAUGUGCGAGUGUUCGGGUGUCAAACCCCUACGCGUAAUGAAAGUGAACGCAGGUGAGAGCUUCGGCGCAUCAUCGACCGAUCCUGAUGUUCUCGGAUGGAUUUGAGUAAGAGCAUAUAGGGUUGGACCCGAAAGAAGGUGAACUAUGCGUGUAUAGGGUGAAGCCAGAGGAAACUCUGGUGGAGGCUCGCAGCGGUUCUGACGUGCAAAUCGAUCGUCAAAUAUGCGCAUGGGGGCGAAAGACUAAUCGAACCUUCUAGU
rnacentral:rRNA from 1 species